rnacentral:rRNA from 1 species
UUGUUGCAGUUAAAAAGCUCGUAGUUGAAACUUGGGCUUGUUUGGCGGGUCCGCUUAACGCGAGUACUCGAUCGAACGAGCCUUUCCUUUGGGGGAGUGCGUUCUUCUUUAUUGGGGGGCGUACGAAGCCAAACAUUUACUUUGAAAAAAUUAGAGUGUUCAAAGCAGGCCUUUGCUCGAAUAUAUUAGCAUGGAAUAAUAGAAUAGGACGUAUGGUUCUAUUUUGUUGGUUUCUAGGACCGUCGUAAUGAUUAAUAGGGACAGUCGGGGGCAUCAGUAUUCAGUUGUCAGAGGUGAAAUUCUUGGAUUUACUGAAGACUAACUACUGCGAAAGCAUUUGCCAAGGAUGUUUUCAUUAAUCAAGAACGAAAGUUAGGGGAUCGAAGACGAUCAGAUACCGUCGUAGUCUUAACCAUAAACUAUGCCGACUAGGGAUCGGAGGACGUACAAUUAGUGACUCCUUCGGCACCUUACGAGAAAUCAAAGUUUUUGGGUUCUGGGGGGAGUAUGGUCGCAAGGCUGAAACUUAAAGGAAUUGACGGAAGGGCACCACCAGGAGUGGAGCCUGCGGCUUAAUUUGACUCAACACGGGGAAACUCACCAGGUCCAGACACAAUAAGGAUUGACAGA